rnacentral:rRNA from 1 species
UACGUAGGGGGCAAGCGUUGUCCGGAUUUAUUGGGCGUAAAGAGCGUGUAGGCGGUUUGGUAGGUCCGCUGUGAAAACUCGAGCUCAACCUCGAGACGCCGGUGGAAACCAUCAGACUAGAGUCCGGAAGAGGAGAGUGGAAUUCCUGGUGUAGCGGUGAAAUGACGCAGAUAUCAGGAAGAACACCCGUGGCUAAGGCGGCUCUCUAGUACGGUACUGACGCUGAGACGCGAAAGCGUGGGGGAGCGAACAGG